CGCGGAGCAGCUGCUACAGAUCGGUCGCCACAAACAAAUGUCGUUUGCACUCGUAAAUUCUUGUUCAUAUCUGGUCUAAAUGUCACUGUUACAUUCUUCAACCUGUUAGACAUCAGCCAGCGUCGGGGAGGGAUAAGUUGGUCGCGCGGUGCGCCGGAUAUAUUCCACAAUUGGUGAGUCUGUCUGUUGUCGUAGCGUUAGCAUUAGUGUGUAUCAAUGCAUUUAUAUGGACUGGCUACGGCACACCUAGCUUUUAAAUGCUAACGCUGGCCUCUGAAUCCAUGUGAUUUGGUGAAUGUUGACCUUUUAUUUAAGGAAAAUUGAGAAGAUUUGUCAUUGAUUAUAUAUGAAGAACUGAUGUAAAUGUGUUUAAAUCAAAUGCACUUUAAUUGUUGUUCAUGUCUAUUUUUGCUCAUGAACUAUCAAAUCAUUUCUUAACCAUUGUGUACACUGAAUAUAUUGUGGUCCUGUUUACAUUAUACAGGCCAGGGUGCCUGUAAGGACUCAGAACUGAAUCGAUGGCGAGCUAAGACACUGGCCUGAGCUGAGCAAUCCCAGUUAAAAGCCUCUUCUGGUCUGGUAGGAGGCUCUGGCAGCCUUGUUUCCCCCCUCACCUUCUUUCACACCCACCACACACACACACGCACUUGCACUUUAAGGCCAUGGACUAUUAACAUCUAGGACUCUGCCUUUGCA